rnacentral:rRNA from 1 species
UACAGAGGUCUCAAGCGUUGUUCGGAGUCAUUGGGCGUAAAGGGUGCGUAGGCGGCGCGGUAAGUCGGGUGUGAAAUCUCGGAGCUUAACUCCGAAACUGCAUUCGAUACUGCCGUACUUGAGGACUGGAGAGGAGACUGGAAUUUACGGUGUAGCGGUGAAAUGCGUAGAUAUCGUAAGGAAGACCAGUGGCGAAGGCGGGUCUCUGGACAGUUCCUGACGCUGAGGCACGAAGGCCAGGGGAGCAAACGGG